CUCUUAAGGAUAUUUUUAGUGUAGCUUCAAAAUUUAUUUGUAUAAAAUAAACAGUUGCAAACAAAACGCGAUAAAAGUGAGCAGUGGUGGAUAAAAAACUAAUCGAUCAAGUAAAGCAACUUGAGCGUUUCAACAGGCCGACUAUAUUCCCGAAUAAUUCGAAUUCUGAUGUUAAUGAUUUUCGUCGAUUUACUUGGGAUUAUUCAAAAUUACGACAUAAAUGUAUAACUGGAUAAGAAAUUGGCCAAGAAGUAAUGAGCGAACGAAAGUGAUUUAACAUUACGUUUCCAGAUAUCAGAUACCUAAUCACGAACUGUCACAUCCAAAAUAGCAAAACCAGAAACAGAGAACCAAAGAUACCACAACCAGAAACCAUAAGCAGAACCAGAACCAGAGAACAGUCACAAUCUCAAAUCCUAAUCUAAUUACCAACCACCACCACCUCCGCCGCUUCCUCCAUAACCACCACCUUCACCACCUCCGUAUCCACCACCCUCGCGUCUGCCACCACCGUAGCUUCCGCCGCCACCACCUCCUCUUGAGGAGUAUCCACCUCCACCACCAGAGUAACCACCCUCGCGUCUUCCGCCGCCACCUCCGUAUCCACCGCCACCACCUCCGUAGCCACCGCCGCCGCUGCGGUAUCCACCGCCACCACCACCACGGCCGCCUCCGCCACCGCUUCCACGUGACUGAGCCUCGUUCACAGUGAUGCUGCGACCAUCGAGCUCCUGUCCGUUCAUUCCCUCAAUGGCGUCUUUCAUGGAUUUCUCAUCCUUGAAAGUGACGAAUCCGAAUCCCCUCGAUCUUCCAGUCUCACGAUCGUUAAUGAUCUGGAAACAUAAAAACGAAACAGAUCAGCCAAAUAAUCCAACACAGACGGACACACAAAUCGAGCCAAAAAAUUUCAAAAAGAAAACGAUCGAUCUCCGGGCUCAUAAAAGCAGGAAGAUGAACGUACCGAUUGGGAAAAACAAGUAACAGAGUAACAAAGAACGAGAGAGAGAGCAUGCAUAGUAACAGUAAUUCGAAUCAAGUAACAGAGAAACACAGAUCGGAACAGAUCCGUCGAGGAUCAGAAUCAUCGGAAUCCCGGAGAGUCCGAUC
rnacentral:lncRNA from 1 species